AUGCACGCUGGCGGCGUGCCUCAUACCUGCAAGUCGAGCGAACGGACGAGAAGCUUGCUUCUCUGAUGUUAGCGGCGGACGGGUGAGUAACACGUGGAUAACCUACCUAUAAGACUGGGAUAACUUCGGGAAACCGUAGCUAAUACCGGAUAAUAUUUUGAACCGCAUGGUUCAAAAGUGAAAGACGGUCUUGCUGUCACUUAUAGAUGGAUCCGCGCUGCAUUAGCUAGUUGGUAAGGUAACGGCUUACCAAGGCAACGAUGCAUAGCCGACCUGAGAGGGUGAUCGGCCACACUGGAACUGAGACACGGUCCAGACUCCUACGGGAGGCAGCAGUAGGGAAUCUUCCGCAAUGGGCGAAAGCCUGACGGAGCAACGCCGCGUGAGUGAUGAAGGUCUUCGGAUCGUAAAACUCUGUUAUUAGGGAAGAACAUAUGUGUAAGUAACUGUGCACAUCUUGACGGUACCUAAUCAGAAAGCCACGGCUAACUACGUG
rnacentral:rRNA from 1 species